GAAUUGUUCGCAAUGGGCGCAAGCCUGACGACGCAACGCCGCGUGGAGGAUGAAGAUCUUCGGGUCGUAAACUCCUGUCGAGUGGGAAGAAUAGUUUCCGGGCGAAUAUCCCGGAAGCCUGACGGUACCACUAAAGGAAGCCCCGGCUAACUCCGUGCCAGCAACCCGGGUAAUACGGGGGGGGCAAGUGUUGUUCGGAAUUACUGGGCGUAAAGGGCUCGUAGGCGGCCAACUAAGUCGGAUGUGAAAUCCCCAGGCUCAACCUGGGAACUGCAUCCGAUACUGGAUGGCUUGAAUUCGGGAGAGGGAUGCAGAAUUCCAGGUGUAGCGGUGAAAUGCGUAGAUAUCUGGAGGAAUACCGGUGGCGAAGGCGGCAUCCUGGACCGACAUUGACGCUGAGGAGCGAAAGCUAGGGGAGCAAACGGG
rnacentral:rRNA from 1 species